GUAAGCAUAGUUUAAACAAAACAUUAGAUUGUGAAUCUAAAAACAGAAACUUAGUCCUUCUUGCUUACC
rnacentral:tRNA from 1 species